rnacentral:rRNA from 1 species
GACGUAGGGCGCGAGCGUUGUCCGGAUUUAUUGGGCGUAAAGAGCUCGUAGGCGGCUUGUUGCGUCGACCGUGAAAACCCGGGGCUCAACUUCGGGCUUGCGGUCGAUACGGGCGGGCUAGAGUUCGGUAGGGGAGACUGGAAUUCCUGGUGUAGCGGUGAAAUGCGCAGAUAUCAGGAGGAACACCGGUGGCGAAGGCGGGUCUCUGGGCCGAUACUGACGCUGAGGAGCGAAAGCGUGGGGAGCAAACGGG